CCCGCACAAGCGGUGGAGCAUGUGGUUUAAUUCGACGCAACGCGAAGACCUUACCAGGGCUUGACAUCCCCUGACCGCGUAUGAAAGUACGUUUUCACCCUCGGGUGACAGGGAGACAGGUGGUGCAUGGUUGUCGUCAGCUCGUGUCGUGAGAUGUUGGGUUAAGUCCCGCAACGAGCGCAACCCCUACAUUUAGUUGCUAACGCGUGAAGGCGAGCACUCUAGACGAACUGCCGUUGACAAAACGGAGGAAGGUGGGAUGACGUCAAAUCAUCAUGCCCCUUAUGUUCUGGGCUACACACGUGCUACAAUGGCCGGUACAGACGGACGCAAAGCCGCGAGGCGGAGCAAAUCCGAAAAAGCCGGUCUCAGUUCGGAUUGCAGGCUGCAAUUCGCCUGCAUGAAGUCGGAAUCGCUAGUAAUCGCAGGUCAGCAUACUGCGGUGAAUACGUUCCCGGGCCUU
rnacentral:rRNA from 1 species